AUAUCGCACCGACCGGGAGGGUGAGAACCCUCGACAGGGUUCGACAAAACGCCUGCGUUUUGGAUCGCCAACGGCGGCCCGCAGGGUGAGCGCAGCGAAUCAAUCCCUCCCUCACCGCCA
rnacentral:sRNA from 1 species